rnacentral:rRNA from 1 species
AUGAAUUGUUUGGCUUGGAACUGUCGGGGCGCGGCCAACAAACCGACAGUUCGAGACCUAGUGGGCCUCACGAGGACCACUAAAGCAAAAUUGGUCUUUCUUAGUGAAACUAGAGUUAAAGCAGAAAAAGUUCGUCGUUUACGUGGUAGAUUGGGUCUUAAAGGUUUUGCCGGAUGUGAUAGUAAGGGCCUUAGCGGUGGACUAGCACUCUUCUGGUGUGAU